UACGGGGGGGGCAAGCGUUGUUCGGAAUUACUGGGCGUAAAGGGCUCGUAGGUGGCCAACUCAGUCAGACGUGAAAUCCCUCGGCUUAACCGGGGAACUGCGUCUGAUACUGGAUGGCUUGAGGUUGGGAGAGGGAUGCGGAAUUCCAGGUGUAGCGGUGAAAUGCGUAGAUAUCGUAAGGAAGACCAGUGGCGAAGGCGGGUCUCUGGACAGUUCCUGACGCUGAGGCACGAAGGCCAGGGGAGCAAACGGG
rnacentral:rRNA from 1 species